rnacentral:rRNA from 1 species
UACCAAAUCUUGACAUCCUUUGACAACUCUAGAGAUAGAGCCUUCCCCUUCGGGGGACAAAGUGACAGGUGGUGCAUGGGUGUCGUCAGCUCGUGUCGUGAGAUGUUGGGUUAAGUCCCGCAACGAGCGCAACCCUUAAGCUUAGUUGCCAUCAUUAAGUUGGGCACUCUAAGUUGACUGCCGGUGACAAACCGGAGGAAGGGGGGGAUGACGUCAAAUCAUCAUGCCCCUUAUGAUUUGGGCUACACACGUGCUACAAUGGACAAUACAAAGGGCAGCGAAACCGCGAGGUCAAGCAAAUCCCAUAAAGUUGUUCUCAGUUCGGAUUGUAGUCUGCAACUCGACUACAUGAAGCUGGAAUCGCUAGUAAUCGUAGAUCAGCAUGCUACGGUGAAUACGUUCCCGGGUCUUGUACACACCGCCCGUCACACCACGAGAGUUUGUAACACCCGAAGCCGGUGGAGUAACCUUUUAGGAGCUAGCCGUCGAAGGUGGGACAAAUGAUUGGGGUGAAGUCGUAACAAGGUAGCCGUAUCGGAAGGUGCGGCUGGAUCACCUCCUUUCUAAGGA